UGUGAGAGCAAGAGCCCGGAGAUGGAUUCUGAGACACGAAUCCAGGCCCUACGGGGUGCAGCAGGCGCGAAAACUUUACAAUGCCGGCAACGGCGAUAAGGGGACCUCGAGUGCCAGGUUACAAAUCUGGCUGUCGUGAUGCCUAAAAAGCAUUGCAUAGCAAGGGCCGGGCAAGACCGGUGCCAGCCGCCGCGGUAACACCGGCGGCUCGAGUGGUAACCGUUAUUAUUGGGUCUAAAGGGUCUGUAGCCGGCCGGAUAAGUCUCUUGAGAAAUCUGGCAGCUUAACUGUCAGGCUUUCAGGAGAUACUGUCUGGCUCGAGGCCGGGAGAGGUGAGAGGUACUUCAGGGGUAGGGGUGAAAUCUUGUAAUCCUUGAAGGACCACCAGUGGCGAAGGCGUCUCACCAGAACGGACCUGACGGCAAGGGACGAAAGCUAGGGGCACGAACCGGAUUAGAUACCCGGGUAGUCCUAGCCGUAAACGAUACUCGCUAGGUGUCGGCCACGGUGCGACCGUUGUCGGUGCCGUAGGGAAGCCGUGAAGCGAG
rnacentral:rRNA from 1 species